CGGGACUCUCACGAGGCCUCGUAAUCGGAAUGAGUACACUUUAAAUAUUUUAACGAGGAACAAUUGGAGGGCAAGUCUGGUGCCAGCAGCCGCGGUAAUUCCAGCUCCAAUAGCGUAUACUAAAUUUGUUGCGGUUAAAAAGCUCGUAGUUGCAUUUGUGCGCCGCGCUGUCGGUGCACCGCAUCCGCGGUGAUACUGACACGUUUGCGGAGCAUAUCGUCGGUGAGCCGCCGGUCAAACGGCGGUUCAAUAUCAAAAUCCUAUCGCGGUGCUCUUCAGUGAGUGUCGAGGUGGGCCGGCAAUUUUACUUUGAACAAAUUAGAGUGCUCAAAGCGGGCUCAAAACGCUGCUUGAAUAUUUCGUGCAUGGAAUAAUAGAAUAUGAUCUCGGUUCUAUUUUGUUGGUUUUCAGAACUCCGAGGUAAUGAUUAAUAGGGAUAACUGGGGGCAUUCGUAUUGCGACGUUAGAGGUGAAAUUCUUGGAUCGUCGCAAGACGAACAUCAGCGAAAGCAUUUGCCAAAGGUGUUUUCAUCAAUCAAGAACGAAAGUUAGAGGUUCGAAGGCGAUUAGAUACCGCCCUAGUUCUAACCGUAAAUAUGUCAUCUAGCGAUCCGCCGACGUUAAUCAAAUGGCUCGGCGGGCAGCUUCCGGGAAACCAAAGAUUUUGGACUCCGGGAGGAGUAUGGUUGCAAAGCUGAAACUUAAAGGAA
rnacentral:rRNA from 1 species